GAUCCCCCACACAUGUGUGGGGUCGAUGAUG
rnacentral:rRNA from 1 species